rnacentral:rRNA from 1 species
CAAUAGCGUAUAUUAAAGCUGUUGCGGUUAAAAAGCUCGUAGUUGGAUUUCUGUCAAGGACAGCUGGUCCGCCCUCCGGGUGAGCACAUAGUUUGGUCUUGGCAUCUUGCUGGAAACUGUUGCUGCGCUUGGUUGUGUGGUGCAGCUUUCAGCACUUUCACUUUGAGGAAAUUGGAGUGUUUCAAGCAGGCACAUGCCUUUGGACACAGUAGCAUGGAAUAAUUAGAUUGGGCUUUUGCUCCAACUUGUUGGUUCCUGGAGCUGAGGUGAGAAUCAAUGGGGAUUGUUGGGGGCAUCCGAAUUUAGCCGUCAGAGGUGAAAUUCUUGGAUCUGCUAAAGACGGACAACUGCGAAAGCGUUUGCCCAGGAUGUUUUCAUUGA